rnacentral:rRNA from 1 species
AGCAGCCGCGGUAAUUCCAGCUCCAAUAGCGUAUAUUAAAGUUGUUGCAGUUAAAAAGCUCGUAGUUGAAUUUCGGGACUAAUAUGUCGGUCGUACUUUGUACGUACUAGCAUUAUUGGUUUCUCCCUUCUGACGAACCACGAUGUCAUUAAUUUGGUGUCAUGGGAAAUCAGGACUGUUACUUUGAAAAAAUUAGAGUGUUUAAAGCAAGCUCGCGCUUGAAUACAUUAGCAUGGAAUAAUGAAAUAGGACGUUUGAUUCUAUUUUGUUGGUUUCUAGGAUCGACGUAAUGAUUAAUAGGGAUAGUUGGGGGCAUUAGUAUUCAAUUGUCAGAGGUGAAAUUCUUGGAUUUAUUGAAGACUAACUACUGCGAAAGCAUUUGCCAAGGAUGUUUUCAUUAAUCAAGAACGAAAGUUAGGGGAUCGAAGACGAUCAGAUACCGUCGUAGUCUUAACCAUAAACUAUGCCGACUAGGGAUC